UUACCGGAUUAGAUACCCUGGUAGUCCACGCCCUAAACGAUGCGAACUGGAUGUUGGGUGCAAUUUGGCACGCAGUAUCGAAGCUAACGCGUUAAGUUCGCCGCCUGGGGAGUACGGUCGCAAGACUGAAACUCAAAGGAAUUGACGGGGGCCCGCACAAGCGGUGGAGUAUGUGGUUUAAUUCGAUGCAACGCGAAGAACCUUACCUGGCCUUGACAUGUCGAGAACUUUCCAGAGAUGGAUUGGUGCCUUCGGGAACUCGAACACAGGUGCUGCAUGGCUGUCGUCAGCUCGUGUCGUGAGAUGUUGGGUUAAGUCCCGCAACGAGCGCAACCCUUGUCCUUAGUUGCCAGCACGUAAUGGUGGGAACUCUAAGGAGACCGCCGGUGACAAACCGGAGGAAGGUGGGGAUGACGU
rnacentral:rRNA from 1 species